rnacentral:rRNA from 1 species
GACGAACGCUGGCGGCGUGCUUAACACAUGCAAGUCGAACGGAAAGGCCCUGCUUUUGUGGGGUGCUCGAGUGGCGAACGGGUGAGUAACACGUGAGUAACCUGCCCUUGACUUUGGGAUAACUUCAGGAAACUGGGGCUACUACCGGAUAGGCGCUCCUGCUGCAUGGUGUGGGUUGGAAAGUUUCGGCGGUUGGGGAUGGACUCGCGGCUUAUCAGCUUGUUGGUGGGGUAGUGGCUUACCAAGGCUUUGACGGGUAGCCGGCCUGAGAGGGUGACCGGCCACAUUGGGACUGGGCUACGGCCCAGACUCCUACGGGAGGCAGCAGUGGGGAAUAUUGCACAAUGGGCUGAAGCCUGAUGCAGCAACGCCGCGUGCGGUAUGACGUCCUUCGGGUUGUAAACCGCUUUCGCCUGUGACGAGGCGUGAGUGACGGUAAUGGGUAAAGAAGCACCGGCUAACUACGUG